rnacentral:rRNA from 1 species
UACAGAGGGGGCGAGCGUUGUUCGGAAUUACUGGGCGUAAAGGGCGCGUAGGCGGCCAACUAAGUCAGACGUGAAAUCCCUCGGCUCAACCGGGGAACUGCGUCUGAUACUGGAUGGCUUGAAUUCGGGAGAGGGAUGCGGAAUUCCAGGUGUAGCGGUGAAAUGCGUAGAUAUCUGGAGGAACACCGGUGGCGAAGGCGGCAUCCUGGACCGAUACUGACGCUGAGGAGCGAAAGCGUGGGGAGCGAACAGG